rnacentral:lncRNA from 1 species
AUGUCAGGCGUCUGUAGCGUGCUGUGCUGCAUUGGUGGCUGCACAUUUCCAUAUGGAUGGGUAUCCCACUGUUCCUGGCACUGCUCCCGGGCCCUGCUGAAUUCCAGGCCAGUUUUAUCCUAGAUAGCAAGAUGGAAGUAUCUGCACUGCUGAAGAGAGGAGCUGGAACUCAGGCAAUGAAUCCUGAUCCUCCUGUUACCCCAAGAAAAACCUGCUGUAUCACUUCUUGUGGAGAAAGCUGAUUUUGCCACUUCUGCUAAGGGCUAGAAGGUGGUCCCAUCACCUCCUCGUUUCACAGAGCUGACCUGUUGAAAUUGCAUGGAACCUGAAGGAGCUACCAGAACUAUGGCAGAAGAAGGCAGCUAUGGAGAGGGAGGUGGUGGUGUGAGAAGAACCCACAGAUUGUCCUUGGGCCACCUCUCUGGGUCAGGGAGGUCACCAUGUCUCUCUAGGUCACCCUGAGCCAUCAAAGGAUGUUUCCAUUCUCACAAGGAGGAGAGUUCUCUCCUGGUAACACAGAUUUUGUAGCUAAGUUGUUUUCAGACCUUGUAAACCAAUGGGCUUAUGAUAGCUAUGGAGGGAAAAUAGGAUAGUCUACACUCUUCCCAUUUCAACCUAGAGAGUAUUUUUUCUCCAUGUAUUUAACCCUGAAUAGUAAAGGAAGACUGUUAGAAAUAGCCAAUGGAAAAAGAAAUGAGGGACAAAAAUCUUCUAGGGGGGAAAAAAACAGUGAUACAUGUUUCAUGUCAAAGACAUUAAACCAUAGCACACACAAAAAAAUGUAGCAAAACACUACAAGCAUUGUUCCUACAAGAGCAGAAAAAUUAAGUGGCGCAUAUAUUCAGCUACAGACAGCGUUUUUUAUUAUAACACAUGGUUUGUAUAAUGUCUACACAAAAAAAAAAUCACAGAAUUAUAAUCAUUAUGUAAAACAUGUAGACAAGGCUCAGGAAGGUUAAAUAUUCUGAGUGGAAAUCAAAUCCUUUCAGAUACCAGGGGAAAAAAGCAAUUUUGCAUAGUCCUUCCUGAAACUUGUGAUACAAUGAUUGUAAUUUGUUCACUACGUACAGUUUUGCAUACAGAAUAAGUACAUUAAAGGAUUUUUGAGCCCCUUGAAUUUAAGCAGAAAUCAAAAUGGAAUGAAUGAAAGGUCACUAUGACGAUAUUCUGAUAUAUUAUACCUAUAUACAUUUAGGGAGAAUUAUAUAGUAGAAAUUAAGUGAUCUGAAGAAAAAAAGAAUGGUUGGAAUCUGCUGCAUCAGAAAGAAAAUUUUCAGGAGUUUAUGCAUUUUUUUUAGAAACAAAACAAAACAAACUCAAAAGUAGAGGACACAAAGAAUGAGCAGUCAAGUAGGCUGUGCAGGAGAAUUUGAAAAACACCUAUGAAUACUAUUUUAUGAGCAAUUCAGUCAGCAGAUCAGAAAGCAAACUCUAACGAAACAUAUACAACUGUCAGAAUACAUGGCAACAGAGAGGGAACAGAUGUUUUGAUCAUUCUUUCCAGCUCAGCUGAAAUUUCAAGUCACACCCACUGCCUACCGUUUAUGAAGACUGAAAAAAUGUGGAAAUACUGAAGGUGAGAACAUAAAACAAUAUGUUGGUAUUAGAAGUGACACAAAGAAAUGUUGUCAGGACACUUCUGAUUUGAUGGAUACUACUAAACUCAGUGGGAAGAACAUACACUAGAAACAAGGUUCAAUCUCUGGUGGUAAAAUAUGAAGACCUGAGCUCAUCAAAGGAGUAUUCUUAUUAUCAGCUCAACCAAAGAUGAAUACCAUGCCCUAGCACUUUGAAGUCAUGUCAGUAAAAUACAGUGUAUUAGAUCAAAAGUUUUAAAAUACUACUCUUAUGCCAUGCUCACUGUCCAGGAAUAAAUAGCAUUAUUAUUCCCA